rnacentral:misc_RNA from 1 species
UUAACUAUUAUAUAGUACUCAGACAAUAAAUUAUAAAGAGUUUUGGGUCCUCUGGCAGGCACUGACCAGCCUGAGCCGGUGGUCCGAAGACGGGCCUGCCAAAGCAACAAUGGUAUUGUAAACAAAGGGUGGGAGAUCUACCCCGAAGGGCAAGUUCUCUGUAAUGAUCCUUCCGCAGGUUCACCUACGGAAA